rnacentral:rRNA from 1 species
GAUGAACGCUGGCGGCGUGCUUAACACAUGCAAGUCGAACGGGAAUUCUUUUAUUGAACCUUCGGUCGAUUUAAUUUAAUUCUAGUGGCGGACGGGUGAGUAACGCGUGGGUAACCUGCCUUAUACAGGGGGAUAACAGUCAGAAAUGGCUGCUAAUACCGCAUAAGCGCACAGAGCUGCAUGGCUCAGUGUGAAAAACUCCGGUGGUAUAAGAUGGACCCGCGUUGGAUUAGCUGGUUGGUGGGGUAACGGCCCACCAAGGCGACGAUCCAUAGCCGGCCUGAGAGGGUGAACGGCCACAUUGGGACUGAGACACGGCCCAGACUCCUACGGGAGGCAGCAGUGGGGAAUAUUGCACAAUGGGGGAAACCCUGAUGCAGCGACGCCGCGUGAAGGAAGAAGUAUCUCGGUAUGUAAACUUCUAUCAGCAGGGAAGAUAGUGACGGUACCUGACGAAGAAGCCCCGGCUAACUACGUG